ACCGCGCAGCUCUCUGAUUAUUUGAACGCGACGCGAAAAUAAUUUCCCUCAUCCACACUGCUGACAUAUUAACUUGUCUGCAUACCCAAGGUACCGAGUGGUUCACGAGCGAUUCGCGGACGUUUGCUUAAUUUUGCUAGUGGCGCUCGAUAAUCUGAUCGAGCGAAAUUCAUUUUUGUGUUCCUUUCGUAUGUACUAGAGGUGUGUUUGCUAGCUAUCGGUUCUACCUAGAAGGAUUGAGCAGAGUGAAGAACGCGGAAGCCCCACAGUGGAAAAUUUACACUCAAGAUCCCGGUCUGAAUGCCUAGCACGGAAGCUUGCUUCACUCACUCUAGAAACCUGUCUCCGUGACCAAUGCGGCGAAGCCGGCACCAAAAUCAUCUAGAAGGCACCGUGCUUUCGAGUGCUUGAGUCGAGUUGCUCACGGAGACAUACCGUGGUUUGUCCUACUUGGCGACGUGGUUCCGGCCUUGGUCGCUGUUGCCCCUUCUACCGUCGGCCAAGGGAGCCUCACGGAGCAAAGCAAGUUACCAGCCAAAUAUGCAGAUAAUAAUGCACGGAGAUCGCAUGACUCGAGCGAGAGACCGGGGUAUUGGCGCGUAUCAAACUGAUCGCAAUGUUAUCGCCGCCAAUGCCAUUCUGGGGACGUCAGGACGGGCUCUUCGAGACGGUUGCGAAGGUCUGACGGCACGGUAGAGGUGUGCUUCGCAUCCACCACACUGAUCCCUCCCGCCCUAUCACUUAUCCUUCCGACAUUCCACGCCCCCAUCUACCCACCCUAACCUAUUUCCUCCGAAUCUCUUCACGAAUCUGCGCAAAAAUCCUAUAUCAGUCAUCCGGAGAUUAAUCGGAAAUGAGUCCACUGCCCACUGAAUCCAUUUCUUAGUGCGAUGCGAAGGCAUCCAUUGAUCCACCCCAAAACGCUAAUCGAACUGCCUUACGCCUAGUUUGAGUAUUCUCUUCCCAAGCCCCAUAGACUCGAAGCGACGACGGCCGCCGAGACCACGCCUCCAGGAAAACGAACCAUGAGUGUAAAUAUCUAGACGAAUGAGACGACAAGCGGGCUCGAGUGCGCCAACCGUCGUCCGAUGAUGAUUGAUCGAAUGAUUGAUUGAUUGACCGACCGACUGAUAAGACCAUUUCAUUACCAUUAUUAUCACUAUUGACUAUGUAUUCAAAGGAGAACCAGAAAAUAAAUGUGAAAUUUAUUUAACAA